rnacentral:rRNA from 1 species
ACUCCUACGGGAGGCAGCAGUGGGGAAUAUUGGACAAUGGGGGAAACCCUGAUCCAGCCAUGCCGCGUGUGUGAAGAAGGCCUUCGGGUUGUAAAGCACUUUCAGUGGGGAGGAAAGGUUGAUGGUUAAUACCUAAUCAGCUGUGACGUUACCCACAGAAGAAGCACCGGCUAAACUCCGUGCCGCACCGCGGUAAUACGGAGGGUGCAAGCGUUAAUCGGAAUUACUGGGCGUAAAGCGUGCGCAGGCGGUCUGUUAAGCGAG